rnacentral:lncRNA from 1 species
CUAUACAUAUGAAAAAGUAAAAUAUUUAUAUGCAUAACAAGUAGUAGCAACAUCAUUCAUAAGCAGCAGUUAGUGUUUAUUUUCCCCAUAUUUUGGUUUAACACCAUAGUGGUAGUUUAUUCUUUUUAGGGAAAUUGCAUAUGGUACAUAUAGCAUAUUAUGAGUAAGUUAUAGAAGACUGUGUAAUUGGAAAAUUAAUUCCAAGUAACAAUAUUUCCUCUAAAAACACGUUUAUUAUCAAACAAAUUAUCCUUAACUAAUGGACAAUAAAAUGUACCUAUAAUUUAAGUCCAAGAUAUAUAGUUAAUUUCCAUAAAAUUAUAUAUGGCAUUUUAAAAACAACCUAUUUCUAAAAUAUCAGUAAUUCAGGCAAUUGGGAUUUCCACAGGAGAUAAAUUGCCAUUAAUUUCCUUUUUAUGAAGAAAACAUCUGUCUUAAGAACAUUAUAACUAUGUUAUUAAGAAAUGCUACAGCAUACUUUUAAAAUGAAAACGGUGAAAUAUAUGUAUUAGGAUAUUCUUUUAUGGGUACCAGCCCUAUAGCAGCAUUUCAUAUGAUUUUAAUCUAGUUAACCAGAUUUCCAAGUAACUUGGGUUCUUCUUUUCUAGAAGUACCCAUCACAUGUAUAGUUUAGUUA